CCUACGGGUGGCUGCAGUGGGGAAUAUUGGUCAAUGGGGGAAACCCUAAUCCAGCGACGCCGCGUGAGGGAUGAAGUUUUUCGGGUUGUAAACCCCUUUUAUUAGGGAAGAUAAUGACGGUACCUGACGAAUAAGCCCCGGCUAACUACGUGCCAGCAGCCGCGGUAAUACGGAGGGUGCAAGCGUUACUCGGAUUCACUGGGCGUAAAGGGCGCGUAGGUGGGAUGGCAAGUCAGAUGUGAAAUCCCAUGGCUCAACCAUAGAACUGCAUUUGAAACUGUCAGUCUGGAGUAUAGGAGAGGUAGGUGGAAUUCUUGGUGUAGCGGUGAAAUGCGUAGAGAUCAAGAGGAACACUCAUUGCGAAGGCGACUUACUGGACUGUAACUGACACUGAGGCGCGAAAGCGUGGGGAGCAAACAGGAUUAGAUACCCGAGUAGUC
rnacentral:rRNA from 1 species